GUGAGUAGUUCAGAGUUUGAUCCUGGCUCAGAUUGAACGCUGGCGGCAGGCCUAAUACAUGCAAGUCGAACGGUAACAUAAAAGAAGCUUGCUUCUUUUGAUGACGAGUGGCGGACGGGUGAGUAAUAUUUGGGAAACUACCUGAUAGAGGGGGACAACAGUUGGAAACGACUGCUAAUACCGCAUAUAGCCUAAGGGUGAAAGCAGCAAUGCGCUAUCAGAUGUGCCCAAACGGGAUUAGCUAGUAGGUGAGGUAAAGGCUCACCUAGGCGACGAUCUCUAGCUGGUCUGAGAGGAUGAUCAGCCACAUUGGGACUGAGACACGGCCCAG
rnacentral:rRNA from 1 species